rnacentral:misc_RNA from 1 species
AGGGUAAUGAGAGGCCUGAAUCGGAUGAUGAGGAGGAAGAUGAAGAGGAGGAUGAAGAUGAUGAUCCAGGGAGCGGGGAAGUUGAUGGAGAGGAUCGUCCGUUCAGGAUGACAAAUGGACAUAGGGUUGAGAAUGAAGGAGUCGUAGAUGUGGAUGAAGAAGAGAGUGAUGCUGAUGAGGAGGAGACAGAGAUAACUAGAGUGACUAAUGGGUCUAAAGGGGAUGGUUCCAGUCACUCAAAUGGUUUUAGAGUAGAGGCAGCUUCUGAUGGAGAGGACGAUGAUGAUGAUGACGAGGAUGAUGAAG